GCGAAAAUUGCGGGCAGUCUGGUGUCACCUGACUGUGCGAACUUCCGCCCCGUUUGUCAGGAAUGGCGCGAAAUGCGAUGAUUGGAUUCAUGCGCAACCCAGUGUCAACAGGAAAGAAACGACCGGCAGACGCAAGAUCAGGGAGAGGCAGCCAUUUAUCACAGCAGUUGAGUGUGAGGGGAGGAAGACAGACAAGUACCGUUUCAGAGUAAGUCAAAAUUUCUAGAUAAAUAACCUCAAAUUUGGAUUAAUUAAUCAGAGAAAACCUAAAGCUGAUUCUUUAGGUUUGUGAUCACUGUAAAAUACCACCGUAUAUCUUUACUCCUUGCACUUGUUUUUCUAAGCUCCUUCUGCUUCAUGGUGUAAUUCACUACAAAGCAAUAUGUGUUACUUUUAUUAAUCUUUUACAAAGGAUACCCUCAGAAUUCAUUCAUUUACUAUAGUGUCUGCUCAUUUUGAUCUUGUUUAUUAGUGAUUUUUUUGACCUAUAAAUAAUGCAAACAAAUCACACAUUACAAACAGGAAUAACUAGUAGUGCUUCAUUGUAUCUAAAUAACAUUGAGUUUGUUCAUUUUUAAAACAAUACAUUGUAAUGCCUUACUUUUAGUAUUGCUUUGUCAAAUCAGGCAUCUUUAAUAUACAUUAAGGUGUUCAGCAAAAAACAAAAACAAACUGUGAUGUCAACAGUGAAGGAUAUUUUGAAAAAUGUGAAGAGCUGAGGAGAGACAGACGAACCAAGUCCAACUUUAGUGAAACAUUUAUUCUGAAAAUCGUUAUUUUCAAAACAUUCCUAUUAAUGCAUCAGAACACCUUCUAAUUCCAGACUUCCCAAUCAACAACAAAAUUAAGAGACAAAAACAGGUCUGACAGGUGAACUUGGCGUCAUUCAGAAGAACAGAUGACUCUUAAUAUUUGUCACACUGAAACUGUAUAAGUCCUGAACAGAUGAUCCCGCUGACCUCAGUCAAAGAGCUCGUCAAGGACACUGACUGAGGUGUGACGUGUGGAAGGCUGCAAGCAAACAAGUUUUAGUUUUCAAGAUCCUACAACUGUGGUCACUGAAGGACCAAAAUGAAUUUGUGGUGACAAGUAUAUGUUCUUUUUAAAGAAUUAAUUCAUUUGUACCUUAGCUGACCAGGUGCUGAUUAAACAGAUUACACAGUCAUGAGAGAAAGUAGAGUAAAUAUGAUGUUUG